GACGAACGCUGGCGGCGUGCCUAAUACAUGCAAGUAGAACGCACAGUUUAUACCGUAGCUUGCUACACCAUAGACUGUGAGUUGCGAACGGGUGAGUAACGCGUAGGUAACCUGCCUGGUAGCGGGGGAUAACUAUGGGAAACGAUAGCUAAUACCGCAUAAUAUUGAUUAUUGCAUGAUAAGUGAUUGAAAGAUGCUAUUGCAUCACUACCAGAUGGACCUGCGUUGUAUUAGCGAGUAGGGGAGGUAACGGCUCAACUAGGCGACGAUACAUAGCCGACCUGGGAGGGGGAUCGGCCACCCUGGGACUGAGACCCGGCCCAGACUCCUACGGGAGGCAGCAGUAGGGAAUCUUCGGCAAUGGACGAAAGUCUGACCGAGCAACGCCGCGUGAGUGAAGAAGGUUUUCGGAUCGUAAAGCUCUGUUGUAAGAGAAGAACGGGUGUGAGAGUGGAAAGUUCACACUGUGACGGUAUCUUACCAGAAAGGGACGGCUAACUACGUG
rnacentral:rRNA from 1 species